rnacentral:rRNA from 1 species
UACGGGGGGGGCAAGCGUUGUUCGGAAUUACUGGGCGUAAAGGGCUCGUAGGCGGCCAACUAAGUCGGACGUGAAAUCCCCAGGCUCAACCUGGGAACUGCGUCCGAUACUGGAUGGCUUGAAUCCGGGAGAGGGAUGCAGAAUUCCAGGUGUAGCGGUGAAAUGCGCAGAUAUCAGGAGGAACACCAGCAGCGAAGGCAGCACUCUGGGCCGGUACUGACGCUGAGGAGCGAAAGCAUGGGGAGCGAACAGG